UACGAAGGGGGCUAGCGUUGUUCGGAAUUACUGGGCGUAAAGCGCGCGCAGGCGGUUCUUCAAGUCAGAGGUGAAAGCCCAGAGCUCAACUCUGGAAUGGCCUUUGAGACUAGAGAACUAGGGUACGGGAGAGGUGAGUGGAAUUCCGAGUGUAGAGGUGAAAUUCGUAGAUAUUCGGAAGAACACCAAUGGCGAAGGCAGCUCGCUGGGACGUUACUGACGCUGAGACGCGAAAGCGUGGGGAGCAAACAGGG
rnacentral:rRNA from 1 species